rnacentral:lncRNA from 1 species
AUGUAUAGAAAAGUGGGGCAGUGGAGUCCACAUCUCUCUCCUAUCCUCUUCUUCCUCACGCACGCGGCGGAGCGGAGGAACGGCGCGACGGCCCGAGCCGGGAUGGCUCGGCGCGCUGCGGAAAAAGCGGCGGCGCUCCGCCAGGGUCUCACCGCCGGCGACGGCGAGGCGCGACGGACAGGUGCAUUGUGGCGGACAGAUGCGUGGCGGCAGCGGGCAGCUGCUAGUGUGGCUACAGCGUCGGUGGCGCGGACUUGGCCGAGCUCUGCGCCGUGGCUGCGGUGGCGGCGUUGCAGAGUGGCUGCAGCAGCGGGUGGUUUGAGCUGGAUCCAUGGUGAUGGGUCUGUGGAGAACAGGACCUGCAGACCGUGGCCUGCGGCGGCGGCGAUGGCGCUGUGGGGCUCAGCUUCGAGACGCACCACGGCGGCAGCGUGGCGCCUUCGCCGGAGUUCGCAGCAUGCGCGGCGAGCUCUUGCAGCGCGGAACUCAUGGUGUUGCUGGUCCUGCAGCGCGGCGAGCUCCUGGUGCGCCAUGACCGGCCGAGCCAUCACCACCGCCGUCGCUUCCCAACGCCGCAACCAGCCGAAGCCGCCGCCGCAGUUGAAGUUGGAUGGGGAUUUCAGGUACUGAGGCUGAGGGC